CUGCAGUUCUCCCGUGGGCCCACCAGAAGUCUUGCAAAUGCUCCCUAAGGAGUAAGCCUGCAAAAACUUUCAAAAAAUUCUUGUGAUGCAAGGGGGUACGUAGGGGAUUACAGUGUCAUUGUCACGAUCAUUGUUUUAAAACAUCUGCCGUGGAGGCUUUCUGCAUUAGAGAGAGACAUUCAGGAAACCCGAGGGGUGCGCUGUGCCAAACAGGUUGUGAGUCAGAGCUCCUCUUGGGGGGCCGGAGGGGGGGGGCGCCUUCUCCUGCUUCCUUUCCCAUUCAGCCAGAGCAUCAUGAAACAUUGAUUAAACCCCUACAAUGGGCCUAGCCCUGUUGUGGGGGCCAGGUCGGUUUCUGGGGGUGCAUGGGCUGGGAGCACAAGUGUCCUGGUCCCGGAGUGUGGCGAGCUUCCGGAGACUUUGAUCAACUCCAUCUCCUUUCUGAGUUCCAGUGUCCCCCAUGCCGAAGGUCCUGAUGCCAUCCUAGCCUCCGUUGGACUCUGGAAUGCUUUUGGGAGCUGCCUAGCACGGCUCCUGCUCUGGGUUUUGGUAAGAAUUCAGGACCUUGAAAAACACCUGAUACAUAAAAACCUGGCACUCAGUCAAUGCCAACCGAAUGGGUGAGCCAUUCAAUCCGGUCUCCUGUUUCUUUAGCAAUUUCCCCAACAAUUUAUAAACAUAUUAUUAAAGCAGCAAAAUGUCUCUGGUUCUUCUCCCAUGUGAAUGUCAUCAGCCUAAUUUGAUUCUUUGCAGUUAUUUGAGAAGAGCCCUCCCGGCCUUUGAAAGUAAGGAGCAGGAUAUAUGGAAUAGAUCCCUCACAUGUGGCAAAUCUGGAUAAUACAGAUAUUGGCUUCCAAGAUGGGGAAACUGAGGGAGAAGAGGAGAAGGAACUUCAUAUCGCAGAGAUCGGCAUCCAGUUUGGUUGCUCUGGAACAAACAAGAGAAGAGUGCUUCUGAGUACAUAGAUCCUCCUUUGGAUGCAUAAUAAGGAUCUCAUGGUGGGGAUCCUGGGUUUCCUUCUUGACUGCCCCUGUGCAUCAGCACCAAGAGAAUGGGGCCAGAGAGUGGUGAGAGGGAGAGAUGCCUCAGGAAGCCUCCCCUGGAAGGAAGAACUGAUCCUGCCUCAAAGCCCCCCCUCACCACCCAGGCCAGAGACAAAACACAUACCGUAGAAGGUACCAAUUAAUAUUCAGAAAGAUGGGGAGGGGAGGGGACAUUUUCCUUUCUUCCAUCUCCUAAGAGAAAACAGUGCUUUAUUAAGGAAUCUCAGAAUCAUUCCACUUAAGCAAACUCUCCCAGCCAGUUCUUCUUUUGUAAGAUGGGAACAAUAAUACUGUUCGUGCAUGGUUGUAUCAGCUUAAAUGGUCUUGCAACUUCAUAUUUUCCAGUGUAUGUUCUGGCACAUAGUAGGUGCUUGGUAAAUAUUUGUUUUCAUAUUUGCAUAAUUUAAUUUUCAUGACUAUAUUUCUUUUUUUUUUUCCUUUGGCUUUAGAGGCAUCCAGAAUGGAAACAACUGUCCAAGCCACCGCAGGAAGCUUACACCCCACGUUCCCAGGCAGAAGUGUGGAUGUUUCCAAACCUAACAGUCUUGGUCCUGGUAAUGCAGUUCACUAAUGAAAUUUCCAUCAUGUUUCUGCUGUCUCAGCGUUUUUACUCAUACUAAGACUUACAAGGCCUCAGCUGCACUUCCCACAUAGCUGAGGGGUAUUAGAGGCUGCAUCACAGUGUGCUGUGGGGCUGGGGAGAGUAGGCUGGGCCAGGACGGGCAGGACAUUAGCAUUAUGGGUUAAUUAAGAUAUGGCGAAUUAAUUGAGGAAUCAUUUUUCUGUAUUAUAAGUACAAUGAUGCAUAGCCAAUGCAAACAUUGCCACAACAUAGAAAUAUACAGACUUCAAAGGAAAAGGUCAGGACACACACAUAAGUGUACACAAUCCCUGCUAUUCCCCAGAGGUAACCACAGUUAACUGUUUGUGGUAUCCUUCCAGAACUUCUGCUAUGCAUUUGCAUACAAAUACAUAUACAGAUGUGUUCAUGUUAAAAAAAAAAACGUAUAAAUGUGGUUGUUUUAUACGUAAUGUUCUGUAACUUGCUUUUUUUGAUUUAACAAGUUGAUUUUUUUUGUCUUAGCACAAAAU
rnacentral:lncRNA from 1 species